rnacentral:rRNA from 1 species
CAUGCCCGUAUCAGGGGGAUAAUCCAGGGAAACUUGGUCUAAUACCCCAUAGUAAUUUUGUAAGGCAUCUUAUAAGAUUUAAAGCUUUGGUGGAUACGGAUUGGCUCGCGUGACAUUAGCUGGAUGGUAAGGUAACGGCUUACCAUGGCUAUGAUGUCUAGGGGUUCUGAGAGGAAGGUCCCCCACACUGGAACUGAGACACGGUCCAGACUCCUACGGGAGGCAGCAGUGAGGAAUAUUGGACAAUGGAUGGAAAUCUGAUCCAGCCAUGCCGCGUGAAAAGGAAGAAGGUCCUAUGGAUUGUAAACUUCUUUUGUAUGGGAGCAAUAAGGCCUACGAGUAGGUUGAUGAGAGUACCAUACGAAUAAGCACCGGCUAACUCCGUGCCAGCCGCCGC